rnacentral:tRNA from 1 species
GAGAUUUUAAGUUAAAUAAACUAAAAGCCUUCAAAGCUUUAAAUUUAAGUCUCG